GAGUUUGAUCCUGGCUCAGAUUGAACGCUGGCGGCAGGCCUAACACAUGCAAGUCGAGCGGAUGACGGGAGCUUGCUCCUUGAUUCAGCGGCGGACGGGUGAGUAAUGCCUAGGAAUCUGCCUGGUAGUGGGGGACAACGUUUCGAAAGGAACGCUAAUACCGCAUACGUCCUACGGGAGAAAGCAGGGGACCUUCGGGCCUUGCGCUAUCAGAUGAGCCUAGGUCGGAUUAGCUAGUUGGUGGGGUAAUGGCUCACCAAGGCGACGAUCCGUAACUGGUCUGAGAGGAUGAUCAGUCACACUGGAACUGAGACACGGUCCAGACUCCUACGGGAGGCAGCAGUGGGGAAUAUUGGACAAUGGGCGAAAGCCUGAUCCAGCCAUGCCGCGUGUGUGAAGAAGGUCUUCGGAUUGUAAAGCACUUUAAGUUGGAGGAAGGGCAGUAAGUUAAUACCUUGCUGUUUUGAUGUUACCGACAGAAUAAGCACCGGCUAACUCUGUGCCAGCCGCCG
rnacentral:rRNA from 1 species